GCCGGCUUGGCUCAGUGGAUAGAGCAUCAGCCUGCGGACUGAGGGGUCCCGGGUUCGAUUCCGGGAAACGGCA
rnacentral:tRNA from 1 species